AUUGAACGCUGGCGGCAUGCCUUACACAUGCAAGUCGAACGGCAGCACGGGAGCAAUCCUGGUGGCGAGUGGCGAACGGGUGAGUAAUAUAUCGGAACGUGCCCGGUCGUGGGGGAUAACGUAGCGAAAGCUACGCUAAUACCGCAUACGAUCUACGGAUGAAAGCGGGGGAUCGCAAGACCUCGCGCGAUUGGAGCGGCCGAUAUCAGAUUAGGUAGUUGGUGAGGUAAAGGCUCACCAAGCCGACGAUCUGUAGCUGGUCUGAGAGGACGACCAGCCACACUGGGACUGAGACACGGCCCAGACUCCUACGGGAGGCAGCAGUGGGGAAUUUUUGGACAAUGGGCGCAAGCCUGAUCCAGCAAUGCCGCGUGCAGGAUGAAGGCCUUCGGUUGGUU
rnacentral:rRNA from 1 species